GGCUUAAGUGCUGAACAGCUCAGUGAAGAGUCAGUGUGACAGCCUUUUUGGGUCCCCACACCCAAUGCAUCUCGAAUUCUUGUCUGGCAUCCAGGAAGAAUCAGGUCAUACGAACGGAUCAAAGGAUGGUGUAUGCAGAAGAUUUUAUUGAGCAAUGGAAGUGGCUCUCAGCAGGAUGGGGAGCUAGAAAGUGGAUGGAGUAGGAAGAUAGUCUUCACCUUCCCCUUGCGGGAGGGGGAGCACACAGAUUAUGAGACAGACUUGGAGAAAUUAGGUAACUCCUCCAAGUUAGGCUCCAGGUUAAUAUCUGACUCUACAACCAACACUCUUCACAACUAUGAAUCCCAAGUCCAAAAAUAAACUUUUACCCCUUUUGGUUGAGAGAAGCCAAGAGUCACGGCUGGACUACAGUUUGAAACUGUUCUCAAGACCCACUUGAAACUGGAUUCAGGUAGUGUUGCCCUUUCAGCCUCAAAAAUCUCUCUUCUCUAUGCUAGAUGCAGGGCGUCCUACAGUCCCUCUCCUGGGAAUCUCUGUAAUAAAUUAAUUCAAACGAAAAUGUAUGUGGUUAAUGCUGUGUUUGCUUGAUUUAUGGACCUUUCAUAUGAAGUAGGAAGAUAUUUAGAGUUGAUUUAAUACUGGAUUAUUUCUACAAAAGUUUGACAAGUCCAUAUUUAGAAAUAUGAUCUCCUUUUACAGAAAAUCAGGUAUCACGGACGUACAGUCUGUUCCAAGGAAGUAAACUCCUUUGUCUGAAAACUGCCCAUACUAAAGAUAUUUAAUAUCUGAUGAGGUAUUAUAACAUUAAUUUCAUCACACUCCCAACUGUACAUUUUAUAAUCAC
rnacentral:lncRNA from 10 species